UACGUAGGGUGCAAGCGUUGUCCGGAAUUAUUGGGCGUAAAGAGCUUGUAGGCGGUUUGUCGCGUCUGCUGUGAAAUUUCGGGGCUCAACCCCGAACUUGCAGUGGGUACGGGCAGACUAGAGUGUGGUAGGGGAGACUGGAAUUCCUGGUGUAGCGGUGAAAUGCGUAGAUAUCUGGAGGAACACCGGUGGCGAAGGCGGCAUCCUGGACCGGCAUUGACGCUGAGGCGCGAAAGCUAGGGGAGCAAACGGGG
rnacentral:rRNA from 1 species